AUGACCAUAGAAGUCUUGUCCCCCCGUGCCACUUCAUGGAAUUGAUUAUUACUUGGACCAGGUCCGAUAGAGCACGCCAGAUCCCACUUCAUGAGAAGUUCCGCUUAUUCGUUUUCCAAAAAAACAAUAAAAAUUUUUCUCAAUACUUAGUAAUAAACAAAAUGAAGCAUAGGCAACAAGAUGACAAAGGAGAACCACAAAGAGAAGGGCAACGGGAAAAGAACUUGAGAGGAGAAGAGGAAGAUAGCUCAGGCCCAACAACGUAAACUCUCAAGUACAAGGCUGAACAAUAAAACGAUCUUUCUACCAAAAAAAAUAAAAAUAAAAAUAAAAUAAAAAUUCAAUCUAAUCAAAAUAUAUAUAGAACCCCAGGCCUAGUGAAAAUGCAAGAACCUUAGUCACGGCCAAUGCUGC
rnacentral:lncRNA from 1 species